UACAGAGACUGCAAGCGUUAUUCGGAUUCACUGGGCGUAAAGGGUGCGCAGGCGGCCAUGUGUGUGAGGUGUGAAAGCCCGGGGCUCAACCCCGGAAUUGCACCUCAAACUACAUGGCUAGAGCAUUGGAGAGGGUAGCGGAAUUCACGGUGUAGCAGUGAAAUGCGUAGAUAUCGUGAGGAACACCAGAGGCGAAGGCGGCUACCUGGACAAUUGCUGACGCUCAGGCACGAAAGCGUGGGGAGCAAACAGG
rnacentral:rRNA from 1 species